rnacentral:ncRNA from 1 species
GAGCGAUAAAGGCAAACCCUGAGUGAUCAGGGGGCGCAAAGUAACAGGGUCUUUUGAAUCUUUUCCUGAAGAAGAGAAAAGAGAAGAAACAGCCUUACUGCCGAA